GUAGUCCACGCUGUAAACGAUGGAUGCUAGUUGUCGGCAAGCAUGCUUGUCGGUGACGCAGCUAACGCUUUAAGCAUCCCGCCUGGGGAGUACGGUCGCAAGAUUAAAACUCAAAGGAAUUGACGGGGGCCCGCACAAGCGGUGGAGUAUGUGGUUUAAUUCGAAGCAACGCGAAGAACCUUACCAGCCCUUGACAUCCUACGACGGUUUCCAGAGAUGGAUUCCUUCCAGCAAUGGACGUAGAGACAGAUGCUGCAUGGCUGUUGUCAGCUCGUGUCGUGAGAUGUUGGGUUAAGUCCCGCAACGAGCGCAACCCUCGCCUUUAGUUGCCAGCGGUUCGGCCGGGCACUCUAAAGGGACUGCCGGUGAUAAGCCGGA
rnacentral:rRNA from 1 species